UACGGAGGGAGCUAGCGUUGUUCGGAAUUACUGGGCGUAAAGCGCGCGUAGGCGGCUUUGUAAGUUAGAGGUGAAAGCCCGGAGCUCAACUCCGGAACUGCCUUUAAAACUGCAUCGCUUGAAUCCAGGAGAGGUGAGUGGAAUUCCGAGUGUAGAGGUGAAAUUCGUAGAUAUUGGAAGAACACCAGUGGCGAAGGCGGCUCACUGGACCGGCAUUGACGCUGAGGUGGCGAAAGCGUGGGGAGCAAACAGG
rnacentral:rRNA from 1 species